GGGGGGAGGCCGGAUCCUGGGCUGUGUCCCGGCGCCCUGUGCUCCCGGGCCUGUGCUGUUGGAUUCGCGCUCCCGCCCGCGCAGCCGCCU
rnacentral:pre_miRNA from 1 species